rnacentral:tRNA from 1 species
UGGUCUAAAGAAAUAUCUGAUUGCAAGUCGGAUGGUGGGUUUGAUAGCCCUUGGGCCU